GGUUUUGUGUUUGAGUGCCAGGUGAAUUUUCUUUCAUUAUGAUCAAUUGUAUGCCAUAUGUCUAUCAAAUUGUAGUUUUCAAUUAUGUUAUUCAAAAUGUUCCUUUUUUGGAGUGAGUAUAAAUAUUUCCAUUUCUUUUAUCUCUAAUAAUGGGUUAAGAACAUUAUUGAAAUCCUCUCCGACUAUAAUGUUCUUAUCUUGGUUAUUUAUUAUAAAAUUUGGAUUCAUCUAUGUUCGGACCGUAAACGUUCAUUAAUUUUAAUUGUGUUUGUGUAUUUUUAUGCCCCCCUUCGAAGAAGAGGGGGUAUAUUGCUUUGCUCAUGUCGGUCUGUCGGUCGGUCUGUCGGUCCGUCCACCAGGUGGUUGUCAGACGAUAACUCAAGAACGCUUGGGCCUAGGAUCAUGAAACUUCAUAGGUACAUUGAUCAUGACUCGCAGAUGACCCCUAUUGAUUUUGAGGUCACUAGGUCAAAGGUCAAGGUCACGGUGACCCAAAAUAGUAAAAUGGUUUUUGGAUGAUAACUCAAGAACGCAUACGCUUAGGAUCAUGAAACUUCAUAGGUAGAUUGAUCAUGACUUGCAGAUGACCCCUAUUGAUUUUGAGGUCACAAAGUCACGGUGACCCGAUUAAGUAAAAUGAUUUUCAGAUGAUAACUCAAGAACGCUUUUGACUAGGAUCAUGACACUUCAUAGGUACAUUGAUCGUGACCCGCAGAUGACCCCUAUUGAUUUUCAGGUCACUAGGUCAAAGGUCAUGGUCACAGUGACAAAAAUCGUAUUCACACAAUGGCUGCCACUACAACGGACAGCCAAUAUGGGGUGCAUGCAUGUUUUACAAACAGCCCUUGUUAUAUCUAUACUUGCUUGUCUGCCAAUCAUUAUUUUCGUUCAAGGAAUCCACUGUUAUUCUUGUAUGACUUUUACUCAGACAAGCGAUGCCUUGUUUAUUUGUAUGUUGUCCGCUAAGACAAAUAUCUCCGUCCCAACCACUUUUCAAUGUUUUUGCUAAGGUAUGUUUUAGGUGACUUUCCUGUAUAAAAAAGACAUAAUAUUACUUUUUUUUUGUCUAACCAUUCGAAACUUUUAGUGCAUUUGUCUUUGUUAUUUAGCCCUUGUACAUUUACAGUACAUAUGUUAAUACUCACACAAAAGGACGAGAAUUGCAUGAUAACAUUCUUGUUCCAAACAUUUUAAAAUCAUUUUGUAGAGCUAGAUUUUUAGUUAGUAGUUCAUUAUGUCAAGUUAUAUUAAGCUUUGAUGUUAAAAACAAUUACCUUCAAUGUUCUACAGGUUGUUGAUUCAUUGUGUUCAUUAAAUUGAUCUCAGCA